rnacentral:rRNA from 1 species
GAUGAACGCUGGCGGCGUGCCUAAUACAUGCAAGUCGAGCGAACAGACGAGGAGCUUGCUCCUCUGACGUUAGCGGCGGACGGGUGAGUAACACGUGGAUAACCUACCUAAGACUGGGAUAACUUCGGGAAACCGGAGCUAAUACCGGAUAAUAUAUUGAACCGCAUGGUUCAAUAGUGAAAGACGGUUUUGCUGUCACUUAUAGAUGGACCCGCGCCGCAUUAGCUAGUUGGUAAGGUAACGGCUUACCAAGGCAACGAUGCGUAGCCGACCUGAGAGGGUGAUCGGCCACACUGGAACUGAGACACGGUCCAGACUCCUACGGGAGGCAGCAGUAGGGAAUCUUCCGCAAUGGGCGAAAGCCUGACGGAGCAACGCCGCGUGAGUGAUGAAGGUCUUCGGAUCGUAAAACUCUGUUAUUAGGGAAGAACAAAUGUGUAAGUAACUAUGCACGUCUUGACGGUACCUAAUCAGAAAGCCACGGCUAACUACGUGCCAGCCGCCGCCGUAA